ACUCUAUGAUGAAUAAAACUUUCACCAUCUUUCGACUGAGAAUAAACGUUGAUGUUGCAUAAGUUUUUAUCUGAUUAAAAAA
rnacentral:snoRNA from 1 species